rnacentral:lncRNA from 1 species
UCUCUUUCUUUACUUAUGGAAUUUGUUAUUUCUCCUUCAUUUUCUAAAGAUUUUUUCUAGGCUUUAACAGAAGUUUGGGUAUAAUUAUUAAGAAUCACUAUAGCAUAAGCACAGUCUAGAAACCAAUUAAAUUUUCUCUGUGUUACAUAUCAAUUUGGUAAAGACAAUGUAAUUCCUGCCAUGAGGUGGAAAUACUGGAUUCUUCUCUUGGCCCUAAGUUUCAUUUAUUGACCUGCUGUUGGUCCAUCUCUCUAGAACUCUCGGCUGAGCUUCAGGCCUUACAUUCAUAUCUGACUUCAGCGAUUUGUCUUCUUGUCUCAGUGAGUGUAAGAAGUGGGUAGAGGAGAGGAUGGAAAGGGGGAAGAAAGGAUUAAAGUUAAGCCCGAAUGUUUCCUUCUCUACCUUAACAUGACCGCAUCUACUAAUAGCCAAUAAAAUGAAUUGGCCUCUCUACUGCGCUGCUUGACCUUCCUCAUGACAUGGCAGUUGGUUUUUCCCAGAGCAGAUAAGAACAACCAUGAUUCAAUAUGUGAGUAGGCUAUACAGGAGACAGGAACCAUUGGGAGCCGUUUGGAACGCUCUCUACUACAGGAUCAAAAGCAAAUAAUUACAAAACAGUAUAUCAAUGCAACAAUGGCAUUAUAUGUAAGCAUUAAUAUAGAAUUUUGGAGGGAAAUCACGAGAAAACUGAAGACAUCUGUCCACCAAGAAAAGCACAAAAGCUAUAAACUAAAGACAGAUAUAUUUUCAACUAACUGCAGUCUUCAAGCAUCCUCAUGGAAUGAUCUGCUUGAAAACCACACCCACAGAGUCUUAUAAAUAUUUUAUCUGCCUCUGACCUCUUCAAUCAGAGUCUCUGCAAGAUUUUGUUAAGAUUGUGAUCUUCUUUGUUAUGCUCCAUCCACCUCUUCUUCCACCUGUCACUGAGUUAUUUCACAUAGACACUAUUUCUCCCUGCGAUUUUUGCAGAAGCUUCUGAACUGGAAUAUUUGUUUCUUAGUGUCUUCUUU